rnacentral:lncRNA from 1 species
GGAUGGUCUCAAUCUCCUGACCUCAUUAUCUUCCCACCUCGGCCUCUCAAAGUGCUGGGAUUACAGGCGUGAGCCACCACACCUGGCCAUGUUAUCUUUUUUAAUGCUGCAUUUGAUUUGAUAGGCUAAUAUCUGAUAAAAGAAUUUUAGGCCGGGCAUGGUGUCUCGUGCCUGUAAUCCCAAUACUUGAGGGCGGAUCCAAGCAGGCGGAUCACUUGAGGCCAGGAGUUCGAGACCAGCUUGGCCAACAUGGCAAAACCCCAUCUCUACUAAAAACACAAAAAUUGGCUGAGCAUGGUGGCUCAUGCCUGCAUUCCCAGCACUUUGGGAGGCCGAGGCGGGUGGAUCAUAAGGUCAGGAGUUCAAGACCAGUGUAGGGAGACCCCCUAAAACUAUUGCUAUGGAAUAAAGAUGAAAUGCUCCUAAUUAUUGUAAAUACAAAAUUGCAUGCAGAAUUGUGUAAAGACAAUGCCAGGUUGGGCUGCCAGAAUGAGCCAACAGCGCAUGAUGUGCUUCCCCCUGCAGAAAGCCUAUAAACGGACAUGCAGUCAGGGAGGUUUCAUAUCUCCCAGAUUCCUAUCCCAGAAAAGCAGAUGUUCAUAGCUCUGGGAGUGGAAUGCGACCCUUGUGGAGAGCCUAUAAACGGACGCAUGAAGGGCACCUGUUCAUAUGGAUAAGAUGAAAAUUCCCGAGAAAGCAGAAGAGGCCCCCAGAUGGGCGGAUUCCCAAUCCCGGACCCCUGCGGCAGGUCGAGGCAUUGAAGAAAUAAAUUAAAGGAGAG